AAUGAGAAAUAGAGUCCUUUGAAGUCAACAGUAAAGAGAAGCAUCAAUUGGAGCCCACACCGCACUCUUCUUAUACAAAAAGCCCCCAGUUGUAUAUUACUCUGCAUCUGGCUGUUUUCCUGGAACCAUGUUUCCUACAGGCUGGCCCGGAUUCCUCCCUCCCAGCAACGGAGCAGAUUGCUGGACCCCACGGAGCGUUGGGAAAAUCUUUGGGAGAUUUCCAGUCACAAGCCGAUGCGGGAGAUGAAGCCGCCAGAACCGCUGAUCACUGGCAGGCUGGCCCUGAACUGCGCGCCCCGCCCUCCGCUGGCCGCUUGGCACACACGGCCGGUCCUCCAGCUGUUCCCCAUUCUCAGGGAGCACUGCCGGGGCUGGUGGGAGCACCAGGCAUCACGCCAGCGAUUUCAGGGGUUCUGGCCCGAAGGACCCUCUGGGCCUCUCAAGCCUCCCGAUCCUGCCUGUGGAAACCUGGGUCCCCGCAGAUGGUCCGCAGCCCUCUGCUCCGACUCAAAGGUACCGCCUUAGCAGCUCCUCGCGUCAAGGACAUCAAUGGCUCACACAGGCCUCCUGAAAAGCAUGUCCUUUGCCAGCAACCCCAGGACAGACCCCUCGGCUGUCCCCAAGGCAACAGACUGCAAAAGGUGCCCACCUGGCCGCCGGCGUUGCGACCCUGGCCUUCCCUCCCGGCUCCUUGCCCCUGCCGCUGCCUCCUCUAAUUAGCUGGACAGGCUCUCCCAUCCGCUCCCGGCCGCCUGUCUCGCUUCGGCCGGCACGCACGGUCCCGGUUAAAUUGGCUGUGGCAGGCCGUAAUAAAGAAGAAAACAGCGGCUGC
rnacentral:lncRNA from 1 species